rnacentral:rRNA from 1 species
AGUGAACGCUGGCGGUAGGCUUAACACAUGCAAGUCGAACGGCAGCACCGUAAGAGCUUGCUCUUACGGGUGGCGAGUGGCGGACGGGUGAGGUAUACAUCGGAAUCUACUUUUUCGUGGGGGAUAACGUAGGGAAACUUACGCUAAUACCGCAUACGACCUACGGGUGAAAGCAGGGGAUCUUCGGACCUUGCGCGAUUGCAUGAGCCGAUGUCGGAUUAGCUAGUUGGCGGGGUAAAGGCCCACCAAGGCGACGAUCCGUAGCUGGUCUGAGGGGAUGUUCAGCCACACUGGAACUGAGACACGGUCCAGAGUCCUACGGAAGGCACCGGUGGGGAAGAGUGGACAAAGGGCGGAAGCCUGAUCCAGCCGUACCGCGUGGGUGAAGAAGGCCUUCGGGUUGUAAAGCCCUUUUGUUGGGAAAGAAAAGCAGCAGGUUAAUACCCCGCUGUUCUGACGGUACCCAAAGAAUAAGCACCGGCUAACUUCGUG